GAAAGCAGCCGCGGUAAUUCCAGCUCCAAUAGCGUAUAUUAAAGUUGUUGCAGUUAAAAAGCUCGUAGUUGAAUUUCGAGAUCAAAUUGUUGGUCGUGCCUUGGUACGUACUGACAUUAUUGGUUUCUCCCUUCUGAAGAACCAUGAUGUCAUUAAUUUGGUGUCAUGGGGAAUCAGGACUGUUACUUUGAAAAAAUUAGAGUGUUUAAAGCAGGCUCGCGCUUGAAUACAUUAGCAUGGAAUAAUGAAAUAGGACGUUUAAUUCUAUUUUGUUGGUUUCUAGGAUUGACGUAAUGAUUAAUAGGGAUAGUUGGGGGCAUUAGUAUUCAAUUGUCAGAGGUGAAAUUCUUGGAUUUAUUGAAGACUAACUACUGCGAAAGCAUUUGCCAAGGAUGUUUUCAUUAAUCAAGAACGAAAGUUAGGGGAUCGAAGACGAUCAGAUACCGUCGUAGUCUUAACCAUAAACUAUGCCGACUAGGGAUCGGAUGAUGUUAUUUUAAUGACUCA
rnacentral:rRNA from 1 species